rnacentral:tRNA from 1 species
ACCACAGUUCAUGGCUCAGUUGGUAGAGCAUGAGGCUCUUAAUCUCAGGGUUAUGGGUUUGAGCCCUACAUUGGGCA